GAACGCUGGCGGCAGGCUUAACACCUGCAAGUCGAGCGGGCACUUUCGGGUGUCAGCGGCGGACGGGUGAGUAACGCGUGGGAACGUGCCCUCUGGUUCGGAAUAACUCAGGGAAACUUGAGCUAAUACCGGAUACGCCCUUUUGGGGAAAGGCUUGCUGCCGGAGGAUCGGCCCGCGUCUGAUUAGCUAGUUGGUGAGGUAACGGCUCACCAAGGCGACGAUCAGUAGCUGGUCUGAGAGGAUGAUCAGCCACACUGGGACUGAGACACGGCCCAGACUCCUACGGGAGGCAGCAGUGGGGAAUAUUGGACAAUGGGCGCAAGCCUGAUCCAGCCAUGCCGCGUGAGUGAUGAAGGCCUUAGGGUUGUAAAGCUCUUUUAUCCGGGACGAUAAUGACGGUACCGGAGGAAUAAGCCCCGGCUAACUUCGUG
rnacentral:rRNA from 1 species